rnacentral:tRNA from 1 species
GCUAUAGCUCAGUUGGUUAGAGCAUCGGUUUGUGGUGCCGAGGGUCGUGGGUUCAAAUCCCAUUAGC